rnacentral:rRNA from 1 species
GCUAAAUGAUGAGCCUAAGUCGGAUUAGCUAGUUGGUGGGGUAAAGGCCUACCAAGGCGACGAUCUGUAGCGGGUCUGAGAGGAUGAUCCGCCACACUGGGACUGAGACACGGCCCAGACUCCUACGGGAGGCAGCAGUGGGGAAUAUUGGACAAUGGGCGCAAGCCUGAUCCAGCCAUGCCGCGUGUGUGAAGAAGGCCUUUUGGUUGUAAAGCACUUUAAGCGAGGAGGAGGCUCUCUAAUGGACGUUACUCGCAGAAUAAGCACCGGCUAACUCUGUGCCAGCAGCCGCGGUAAUACAGAGGGUGCGAGCGUUAAUCGGAUUUACUGGGCGUAAAGCGUGCGUAGGCGGCUUUUUAAGUCGGAUGUGAAAUCCCCGAGCUUAACUUGGGAAUUGCAUUCGAUACUGGGAAGCUAGAGUAUGGGAGAGGAUGGUAGAAUUCCUGUAGCGGUGAAAUGCGUAGAGAU